rnacentral:rRNA from 1 species
GGAGCCUGAGAAACGGCUACCACAUCCAAGGAUGGCAGCAGGCGCGCAAAUUACCCAAUCCCGACACGGGGAGGUAGUGACAAUAAAUAACAAUACGGGGUUCUUUCGGAUCUCGUAAUUGGAAUGAGUACAAUUUAAAUCUCUUAACGAGGAACAAUUGGAGGGCAAGUCUGGUGCCAGCAGCCGCGGUAAUUCCAGCUCCAAUAGCGUAUAUUAAAGUUGUUGCAGUUAAAAAGCUCGUAGUUGAAUUUCGGGGUUAGUAGGUUGGUCAUGCCUCUGGUAUGUACUGGUCUCACUGAUUCCUCCUUCCUGAUGAACCGUAAUGCCAUUAAUUUGGUGUUGCGGGGAAUUUGGACUGUUACUUUGAAAAAAUUAGAGUGUUUAAAGCAAGCUAACGCUUGAAUACAUUAGCAUGGAAUAAUGAAAUAGGACGUUCGAUCCUAUUUUGUUGGUUUCUAGGAUUGACGUAAUGAUUAAUAGGGAUAGUUGGGGGCAUUAGUAUUCAAUUGUCAGAGGUGAAAUUCUUGGAUUUAUUGAAGACUAACUACUGCGAAAGCAUUUGCCAAGGAUGUUUUCAUUAAUCAAGAACGAAAGUUAGGGGAUCGAGGACGAUCAGAUACCGUCGUAGUCUUAACCAUAAACUAUGCCGACUAGGGAUCGGAUGAUGUUAAUUUUUUAAUGACUCAUUCGGCGCCUUACGGGAA